rnacentral:rRNA from 1 species
CACGUAGGCGGACCGGAAAGUUGGAGGUGAAAUCCCAGGGCUCAACCUUGGAACUGCCUUCAAAACUAUCGGUCUGGAGUUCGAGAGAGGUGAGUGGAAUUCCGAGUGUAGAGGUGAAAUUCGUAGAUAUUCGGAGGAACACCAGUGGCGAAGGCGGCUCACUGGCUCGAUACUGACGCUGAGGUGCGAAAGCGUGGGGGGCGAAAACA